GAUGAACGCUGGCGGCGUGCUUAACACAUGCGAGUCGAACGGAAAGGCCAGUGCUUGCGCUGGUGCUCGAGUGGCGAACGGGUGAGUAACACGUGGGUGAUCUGCCCUGCACUUUGGGAUAAGCCUGGGAAACUGGGUCUAAUACCAGAUAGGACCAUGCUUUGGAUGGUGUGGUGGAAAGUUUUUUCGGUGUGGGAUGAGCUUGCGGCCUAUCAGCUUGUUGGUGGGGUAAUGGCCUACCAAGGCGUCGACGGGUAGCCGGCCUGAGAGGGUGUACGGCCACAUUGGGACUGAGAUACGGCCCAGACUCCUACGGGAGGCAGCAGUGGGGAAUAUUGCACAAUGGGCGCAAGCCUGAUGCAGCGACGCCGCGUGGGGGAUGACGGCCUUCGGGUUGUAAACUCCUUUCGCAACUGACGAAGCUUUUUGUGACGGUAGGUUGAGAAGAAGCACCGGCUAACUACGUG
rnacentral:rRNA from 1 species